GCUAAUGACACCAGUAAUCAGAAAGUGUUAUAUUUAGGACUGAAUUACUGUAAGAGAGAUGAAGACAGAACGAAAGAAAGUUAUGAUGGAUGGACAAGUGUCUAUCCACCCCCCUUGGUGAUUGAUGUGAAAAGGAGUUAUGUAAAUAUGACAGCUACAAAGAUUGAGAUCACUAUGAGGAAAGCUGAGCCCAUGUUAUGGGCAGGCUUGGAACUUCCGGUGUCAAAAUUACAACAGAAACAGCAGCAAAACAUUGCAGAACAAGCUUGAAAUCUGGGCCGGGGGGGGGGGGGGGGGGAUAAUUGUUGCUUCUGAAGUGGUGACUUGAUGUUAUAAUACGAAUUGAUGUUAUGUGCAGUUGCUUUUAAAAUUCUGUAUUCCAAAGAUGGGUAAAGUACUGGACUUCUCAACAGCGCAAUAGAUCACUUGUUUUGUUGUAUUGAUUUUAUUGGCACAAAGCGUACUCAUGGGGAUUUUGUGAUUAUCAGUUUCUGACCAGUCAUUUGGGUAUAAAAGAAAUCUGUGGCUUCCAAUAGUCCAAGAUAGACACUUUGCAACAGCAGUUCUGAGAUGGCAUUUACAUGGUGACAUUAAAAGAAGCUUGCUUGGCUUACCUCUGUGCUUUGAGAAUAUCCAAUAUUGUGCCUUAGUUUGCUAGUCUUAGAACUAGUUGUCACUUACAGAGCAAAUCUGUAUACUGAUGUUACCACUGAAGACUGAAAGAAGGCAUACUUAAUUUGAAUAUUCCUCAAUAUGGAAAAUACAUUCUGCAUAGAAAACUAAUGCAUGCCUUCUCCAGCAUCUAGUUUUCUGUAUGAAGGUUUUGGGUUGGUUUCUUUACAGUGAGCCCACAGAAAACCAGCCAUCUACAGAUUGGCGCUCCAGUGGAUUACUCAGCUCCAUAUUACCCAAUGGUGGUGUGCAUUGUCACCCAUUGAUUAAUAUGUGUUUGAGUUCCUCAGUUUCUCCCAUCUGUGGGGGGCCCUGGAACCAAGCCCUCACAGAUGGGAAGGGCUCUCUGUACUCACUUGGUUGUGUGGAAUAGCAUUCAGUUAUGUGGGCUCCACCUCUAACACAAAGUUCACAUUUCAGUGAAAACAAGACCUUAACUUAAAGCUUGUGUUGCAAAGAAUUGGGUAACUAUCUUCCUGAAUGGACUUGGAUAAGAAGGUUUUACUUGGAUACUUUUAUUGUUACAGUACUUCAGUUCAGGCUUUGAUUUAACCAAAAUUUUGCCUAUAUUUCAAAGAACAAAUAGGAACUAUAAUUGGGUAUGAAUGACUGGAAAAGAUAAUUUACUAAAGCCAAUGGUCUUUGAACUAGAUGAAGAUGUUAGACUAUAGUAUUUUAUAGGAAAAUCCAUCCUAUAUAUGGUAACUCAAAUCCAAAACACACUGCAGAAAUAAUCCACUUUGAGAACACUAACUGCCACGGGCUCAAUACUGUGGAAUUAUGGGAACUGUAGUUUUGUGUCUCAGUCAGAGAGCUUGGGCUACAAUGAACCACAAUUCCCAGGAUUCCCUAGCACUGAGUCAGGUCAGUUAAAGUGGUCUCAAACUGGAGUAUUUCUGCAGUUUGUUUUGGACCUCAGUUAAUAAUACAAGAAAUGUUUAACAUACCAUGUAAUUGAUACUGUAGACAUCACUGCAUGACUUUCUACCAUAACAAGAAUAGAACAAAAGUUAUUGCCACCUUAGACCGACUUAAAUUCUGUACAGACAUGCAAUCUUUCAUCUCUUUUAUGUUGGGAAGCAUAAAUAGAAUUAAAAGGGAAAGUUUCAUG